AAAUGCUCCGCGCCGAAUACAUACAUAUAUGUGUGUAUAUAUAUAUAUAUAUAUAUAUAUAUACGUAUAUAUAUGUAUAUAUACACUUAAUAAAAGUUGCUCUGAGCAGCUCAUUUGAUCCAGGGCAGUGGGGCAUCCAGUAUGACCAAAGUAAGGUCUGCACCAGUGUAUGCCCAUUGGCAACCUUAUUAGUCGCCGUGAUUACUGACAGAAUAUCGAUUAAGGAUUAUCUGAGGAGAGCUUGAGUUAAGAAACAGCAGCCUGUAGGGACAGUGUGUAAGAGGAGUUCCAGAAUGAAAGGAAAAGGCUGUUUUCAUUAGCAGGCUGUGGAGAAAUGUAUUAAGAAGCAAGGCUCUAGUGAUAAGUAGGAAAGCACAGAUGGAAGGAGGAAGAUAAAAUGUGUAAGGUCAAAAAGACAUUGCUGUCAUCUGCUCAUGGUGCACAGAUGAUGUUGCACAGAGGAGCCAGGGAAACUGAAGAGGGGUAUCUGUGAGAGAGAGGAAUGCAAGAACAAACACUCAGCAUGUCUAAGACUCAAUUUUAGAUUGUGUUUAGAUACCACUCUGAAGAAACCACAGAAAAGCAAACCCUGGAAAUAAGCCAGGGAAUUUCUAAUGUUAGUGUUCUGGAGCAGAUGUGUAUAUAUCCAGGUUUACCAUACAGCUGAAGUCUCUACGCAGAAACACUCCUUCCACUGGAUACGUGCACUCUCUUACAUCAAUAAACUUAC
ensembl:lncRNA